ensembl:lncRNA
UUAUGGAGACAGAUGCAAAUCAGAAUGUUGACAGGGAAAAACUUAAACUUGGCAAGACUAUCAAAAUUUAAAAGCUCCAAUUUGGUUACUAUGAAUUUUGGCACUUUAAAAACAUUAACCAAAUGAAAUUCUGCAGCCUUUCACCAUUUAUUCUUACAGUGAUUUCUUUGUAAUUUUUCAUCAGUCAUAUUAUUUAGAGGAAAUUCAGUUUCUGACUUCAGUGAUUUUGUUUUUUCCUAACUGAUUUUCUCUGCUAGUGUUUUUUUUUUAAACAUAUGCCUGUUUUAAUUUAUCCUUUUAUUUUGGUGGAAUUUUUUUUCCACUACCAUGUUUAAAUAGGUUUGCAUCAUAGUGAACACUUACUGUGCCUAAGUGAUAUAGAGUCACUGAGAAGGUAACUGACUAAGUCAGAAUCUGUACCUUGGGGGCUUGAUGGGCAUUGCCAGGAUUGACUGCAGAGAAUGUUGGGCUCCCUACGUUCAUAGCCAAGAUUGACACAUUGCUCACAUUUCACAUCAGAGCGCUUAGUUGAAAUUUAUGUAUUUAGUGAGAAGCUACAUAUAGUUCCAAGAAUUCUAGCAUUAUAUUGGUAUUUAGGUAGCUAAAUAUAAUAAUACCUCUGUUUAUGAACUUCUCUAUUUGCAGACAAUUCACUUUGCAGACAAAAGUGUUAGGCAAAAUUUUACUUUCAUUUGGAAACUUCACAUUGGGUGACAAACACGACUAUGCCCAUCUUCUCCACACACAAAUUCAGCCAUCUUCCCCAAAAUCAUAAAACAAGUUUGUCAACCAGGGUACCACUGUAUAUGUCCAUUACUACUUAAAAAUUUGUUCAUUUUGGCUUGGUCCCAAAUUGAAAAACCUCGAUGAUGCUUUAGACACAUUAAUUAGUGAGAUACAAUUUGCUUAGUUUAUUUGGAGCUUCAGCCUCAUUCCCAUGUCUUUUUCCCAAUGGAAUAUAUUACUUUCAACCAGAAAUAAACUAGAUCUCAAAUACUAUUUUCAGGGCUUGUAUUUCAUGAGAAAUGAUUUGAUUUGCAAGUCACCUCUCAAGUGCAUUUGCAUUUUAUUUUUUGAAAUGACAGAGACCUUGCAUGACCAGAUUGAUUAAUUCAGAGUAUAUCACUGUCUUACUCAAGCAAAGGAAUUCAGAGUUGGGUAGCUACCUCUGUGCUAAAGCUGACAAGACAACAUUAACCUUUACCAGGGUCAUCUUUUUUAGAUGUAGUUUUCCAUUUAUACUAAAACUGACCUGUCCAUGCCUAAUAAAAACUAAUAGGAAACUUGAGAAGUUUAAGUUACUGGUUUGUCCUAGAAAAUCCAAUCAAAUUUAGGCCUUAGUGAUUUAAGCUUAUAAAAUGCACUCUUGAGUGAAAUAUACAUAUUGUAUAUACAUGGUUGGCAGCUUUUCAUUCCAGUGGGUCUUUUCACAUCUGCCUUAAAAGUGAUAUUUAGAGCUCCAUCUUAACAGAGUUUCACUUAAUAAAAAAGGAUUUUAAAAUCUAACCAACAACUACAAACUUACAAAUCGUAGCAUUUAGUGGGAGAGUAAGAAUGAUGCUUAAUGGAUCAAAAAGUUGUACUCAGUUUCAUGGUAAUUAUACAGAGAAAUUACUUUUAAAUUGUUCUUAACAUGGCAUGGACUUCAUUGGGUAAUUGUGGGUCAUUUGAUUAUUUUAUGAAUGAAAGUUGCAUGAAGUCCUUAGCUGGUUGAGUGUUGUAUAAACAGUUGAAAACUACAGUUUGAGGUAAUUUCUGUGGGAAGGACCAUUACAGUAUGUAACAGUGUAAACAGACAUGUAGCUAUUCAAAAUAUGCCCUUCCUUAACACCUAUUUUCUGAAAAAUCCUUAUUCAUCCACAAUCUCAUUCCUUUGCAGUAAUUCUUGACUGAAUUUUCACUAAGUUUUAACUAGUCCUUGCUCUUAAGAUGUGCUGACUGGCCUCAGAAAAAGUCUCUGGUUGUUGUUGGAGUAUCUUAGAGGUCUGUAUGUGAUCAUACUUGUAUGUUUUUGGGCUCUCUAAUGCAAAGAUUUUUGUUUUCCAUGUAUUAUUCUUUUGUGGCUUUUGACUGUGGCUUAUAUCUCCCAUGUGAUUUGUCUUAAUGUUAAAAUGACUUUGUUAUCCAAAUCUUCUAGUCUAGAGGUAUGUCAGUUGAAGGUUGGGGUUUCCAAGUUUGUUGAAAUCACAUGGAACUGACUAGCUCAUCUGAAUAACAUUGCCACAGUUUUGUUUUAUAACUCAUUGCUGUUUCUUAAUUUCUUUACCAAAUGCUCAUUUUGUUUUUCCUCAAUAAAUGCUAUCUCAGAGAUUUUAUUUAUAUAUGACUUUUUAACCUUGAGUUCUCCAAAUACUGUGAAUUGUGUUUCCAUUUAUUUUUCUUAGCUAACUUUUUUUAUUUUUAAUUUCUUUUUAUUUACUUUUUUUGUUACUGGGGAUUGAACUUGGGACCUUGUGCUUGUGAGGCAGGUGCCAGAACCACUGAGCUAAAUCCCCGGCCCUUCAUUUCAUUUUUUUGAGACGGUCUCACUGUGUGGUUCAGGCUGGCUUGAACUCACUGUGUAGUCCAGGCAGGCCUCAAACUUGUGGCGAUCCUCCUGCCUCAGCCUCCUGAGUACUGGGAUUACAGGCAUGCGCCAUCAGGCCCGGCUAUUCUUGACUUUUUUUAGCCCCAGACUUCAUUGACUUUCUGUAGCAUUGCUUAGGACCAUUUUACUGCUUGAAAAAAAAUCAGGUCAGAAUCAUUCUUAAGCAAACAUGGUCAUCAUCCCUGUUUAUGACAAGCAAUAAUAGUGAAAUUAAAAAUUAUAUGUUAUUGAAUAACAUUUAGAUAUUGCUAUAAAAACGUAUGCAUCAUUUUUAUUUGGAGAUAGUUAUAAUGGCUGCGGCAGCUUUAAUAAAGGAGCCUGUGAUGGUUUCUUUUCCUGGCACUGGGAAUUAAUUGUCAUAAAGAGAGCUCAUGGAAAAUUCAGUAUAACUCCAGAAUUUCCAUUUGCCUAUUGUCUUUUUAUUGUUUUUAGCCUUUUUUUCUGUUCCUACUUCCCAUAAAUAGCAUUGAUUUUCUGCUGAUGUUGGGAUUUAUAUUAAGAAUUGGCUUUCAAUUUCUGAUAUAGUUGAAUAUUAAGAAUAGCUUUCAUUAGUGACUAUGAAAUGAUUGGUUUUUUUCCUUAAAUAAAAACAAGUAUAUGAGUGUCUCUUCCCCUCAAGAAUAUGACUAGACCUAAUUCUGAAUAACUAAAUCUCAUUCUCAGUUAUACAACCAGUGAUAAAAUCACCCAACAGUAGCUUUCAUAGCCCUUAACCUAAGGAGUCAUUAGAGGUUACAGUAAAUUAGAUUUUCUAGUGUCACAGAGAGAAAUGCCCUUUUGGGAAACUAUCACUUGUCUUUUUCUGUCAAAUCUUGAACUGGUUCCCAAUUCACAACUUAGCACAAAAAGCAAAGUAGUUUAUCUUCUAUUUUACAAUUGUUAUUUGGAAAUUAAGUUUGCUUAUAUACACUCAUGUCCCCAAACGCUGCCAAUCUUCCUUGAAUUUUUUGUGGAUAUCACCUGAGCACUACGACGUCAACAAGAAAAAAGAUGGCAGGGAGCUAAGCGGGGUGUUUGAUAGGGAAGGAGACUAGUUCUACGAAAUCACUUAAAAUUAUGAAUCUUAUGUCUUUUGUUUAUCUGCUCUUCAUACAGCCUUGGUGAACUAUUACACACUUGUGUGCAGUGUCCUGUUUUGCCUAUCUAAGGCAUUUUGACUUGGAAGUAUUGAACCUCAGGAACAAAUCUAGAAGGGAGAUUGGGAAUAUGUUGGGAAAAGAAUAAUGGAAACUUUUGGCUUAUGGAUUUGACAGUUCAUAAAUCUAAAUGAAACAGAAAGCUCUUCAUUUUUUAACCCUGAAUAAUUUUAUUUAUGCAGCACAGGAAAAAGACUCCCAAAAAAGGAUCAAAGUUUAAUUUUCUAGAAUAUUCGGGUUAGUCUUUGGAAUGCAUUUCUCUUCUAGUAGUUGUAAGAGACUUUAAAACAGAAAACCUUAUAUAAUCAACUCUAGAUCUCAAAUAGGUAAGCAGCUUUUUUUGUAGAUCUAGUUCCUUGAUAAGUGCAAAGUGAAAAUCAACAAUAAAACAUUUUCACAUGCAGUUAUUUGGCUCCCAGAGGACUCACUUAGAUAGCUCUGGAUAUUCUAGGUUGCCAGUCUCAGGAGAUCACCCUUGUUCAGUUUCAUUCACUACUUAAUGAAUGCAAAAUUAAUGGCCAGGGAGGAGAAACGUUGUGUGUGUGAUAUAUGGAACAGGCCCAUGUACAUAAUUAAGGAAUUGCAAUGUGGUCAGUUUUGAGCUUUCUCUCUCUCUCUCUUACUAGCAAAUCUCAAAAAAGUCUUUCUUAAAGUUUUACUAGUGCCGUUGGAUUGGUUUUCAUUUACUAGCCCUUUAAAAUAGGAAGAAAGGCUAAGUGUGGUGGCAAACUCCUGUAGUCCCAGCAUGUGGGAGACUGAGGCAAGAGGAUUGCUGCGAGUUUGAGGCUAGCCUGGACUACAUAAUAAGUUCAAGGCCAGCCUAAAAUACUUAGUGAGACCCUGUCUCAAAAAGUUAAAUAGGAAGAAAAUUUCCAUUUCAUAUAAAACUUAUAAUCCAUACAGAAUUGAACUUACAUUAGUUUUCAUGCCUUAAAAUAAGUUAAUCAUAUAUACAAUACCAGAGAUUUCUGUAUUCUGCUUUGCCAAGAAGUCCAUGAGUCCUAGAUGUUAGAGAUAUGUAAUAAUUUUGGCUUAUUCUUUAGGUUUUCUCCUCAUUUGUAAAGUGAUGGAUUAAAUUAGAGAUGGUAUGUAGAAUAAGCCCCAAUUUCAUUACAACUGGCAAAGCUUUACAAAUUGAAUUGCCAUAACAGAGAGCUAUGCUAGCCCUUAUUUCCAAAUGACCAUGUAGCAUGUUGCUUUUUAGUGCUGGAUUUACUUCUGUUUCCUUAUUUGUGGUAUUGGGGAUCCUUGCACAUGGCUAGACAAGCACUGUACUGCUGAGCUACACACCCACCCUUGUAUUUACCUUCUUGAAAUGCAAAGGGGAACACUGAGGACAGAAAUGUGUGGCUUUGCAUUGUUAAUUACCUGUUUUGGGAGUCCUAAGGUAUUUCUAUCUUUGUAAAGCUUAGCUUAAUUUUACAUAUACUGUACAUGUUAGCUUUGCUUGUAAAAGCACUGAAUACAAAGAUGUAAGACACAACAGAGUAAUGUCAGCCCAGCUCCAGAUUUGAUUAAUAGUAUGUCAGAGUCAAAAAUAUUAGGUUAAAUAUAAGUAGUCUUCUAUAAGGGAAGACAUACUUUUUAAAAAAUUAUGUAAUCUCCUUCAGAUUUUUUUCUCAAAAAAAUGAUCUUGACUGACCAGUUAUAAACUAUUUUCUUCCUCAAUUGUAAGCCAUUUAUUUAGAAACAUAAAAAUGGAUUUCUAUUUCUAUUAAGCCUGGGCAAGAGAUGCUCAUUCUGUUACUCAUUAAGCCAGCCUACCUUUUUAACUUCUGUUAAAUGUCUUUUGAAAUAAAUUAGAUUGUAUAGUAUUAAUUGUCCUUUAUAUAAAUGAAGCCUUCAGCUCAAUUGAGAUUGCAUAAUUCUGUGAGCAGACUUCUUUGUGGAAAAAAAAAAAAUAUAUAUAUAUAUAUAUUUUUUUUUUUUUUAAUUUUCCUUCUAAUAAAUUGCUUCCCUUACCACCACUCCAAACGUACAGUCUUCAGCCUCAGACGAAUAGUACAGGAAACCUAAGUUGAGAACCUCUUUUUCUUAUCUUAUUCUUGCCGGUAGACUGAAUGUUCCAUAUUUCCAAAGUGACAUAUUUAUAAGCAGCGUGGGAAAGAUGUUAGAAUUUUUAAAAAGUUAACUCAUAAAUUAGAAGUACUUGGUGGCCAGAAAUUAAGAUCCCUUUGUUAGAGAAAGAUCUUUAAAACCAAAGUUGGACUGGAAAUUAGAUUGAGAAGAACAAUACAGCUUUACCCAUAGCCAGCAGAACCUUGUCUUUCCAGGCCUGCUCCUCAGCACUGCGGAGAGCUGCUGCCUUCUGAGGGCAGCUCCUGGGCUGGAAAUGUGCUAAUAGCAUCGGCUCACUUUAAGGUUGGAAAGUGUUAUUAUCCUUUAUGGGUCUUUGCCUUUCCCAGAAAAAUAGGAACUUACUAAAUGUAAAGAAGGAAAGCUCUUGUUGAUGAUACCUCUUCAUUUUCUUUUUCCUAACCUCUCAGCAAAAAUGGUAAAGAUCAGAAAAGGUUAAAAAAACAAAAAAAGUUAUUAGACCUUUUCUCAUUUUCUCCUACCACUUUAUAUGUAGGAAAGACCAGGUUGCAAUUGUACGUCCCCAACCUUAUAUUCCUUAAGCAUUACCCUUUUCUAGACAGUCUAAAAAUAAUUCUGUUGAUAAGUGUCUUUAAGCCUGAACAACAGAUAUAAGAUGGUAACCAGCAGCUGUGGAGAGCUGACUUGUUCAAGUCAUUGAAAAUUUCACCCCUAAAACUCACUGGAAUUUUAAAGCUCAUUAGGCACCACUAUGUAUGAAGCAUAUUGAUGAGGAGCCACUUUUUGUGAUGCACUUUUUUAUAAGGCCAUAAUUAAACCCACACUAAGAGAAUGAGCUAACUUUUCUAAGGCUCAAAGCACAGCAAAAGAAAUUGUCAAAUGAACAUAAAUGUAAGGCUUAGUCUGUGAAAUAAGAAUUCCUUAUCAUACUUAAGUAAAUGUCUCAAAAAAAACCUUGUUUUUCCAUAAAUACCAGCUAAGAUUCAGAAGUUUGCACCCCAGUAAUAUCUCACAUGAGACUCCUUCUCUUAGGAUGUGGAAAAGAAAAAACACCUUAUUAGUUCUCUUCUUUCCUUUACCCGCUCUUGUGUGGUGUUGUGGGCCUAAACUGUGUCCUGAAGUACUUGAGUCAGAAAUGGCCCACUGGAAAACUAGGUGGAGCAUUUAAACAGAGUGCUCUUUGGGUAGCAGGUCUUGGAUCUCUUUCAACAUCAUUGUUUUAGGUUACUGUUAGGCUGAGUUUUAUCUGGAGUCAUCCCUCUCAGAUCCUCUGAUUUGCCUUUUGUCCAAUCCAUAUGGAUUUUUUAGGAUUUUUCUUCUUUAGUACAAGUAAUUUUCUGAUCCCAGGUUUGGUACAUAUGUUAUCUUGUGAAUAAAUAAUGAGUGAUCUGCUGGACAAUUGCAGUUGUAGAAUUAUGUUGUAUGUAAUGUACAUAUGGAGAAAGAAUGUAUUUUGUUCAUUUUCUUAAUAAAAAAUUAUAUAUAGACACUACAGAA